rnacentral:tRNA from 1 species
GCCGGGGUGGCCGAGCGGUCCAAGGCGUCGGGCUGCAGACCCGAUUAACUCCCGGGUUCGAAUCCCGGCCCCGGCUCCA